UGAGGAAUAUUGGUCAAUGGGCGAGAGCCUGAACCAGCCAAGUAGCGUGCAGGAUGACGGCCCUAUGGGUUGUAAACUGCUUUUAUGUGGGGAUAAAGUGCGUGACGUGUCAUGCAUUGCAGGUACCACAUGAAUAAGGACCGGCUAAUUCCGUGCCAGCAGCCGCGGUAAUACGGAAGGUCCGGGCGUUAUCCGGAUUUAUUGGGUUUAAAGGGAGCGUAGGCUGUCUAUUAAGCGUGUUGUGAAAUUUACCGGCUCAACCGGUGGCUUGCAGCGCGAACUGGUCGACUUGAGUAUGCAGGAAGUAGGCGGAAUUCAUGGUGUAGCGGUGAAAUGCUUAGAUAUCAUGACGAACUCCGAUUGCGCAGGCAGCUUACUGUAGCAUAACUGACGCUGAUGCUCGAAAGUGCGGGUUUCAAACAGG
rnacentral:rRNA from 1 species